CUCCACACGGCGCAUGCGUACUGGACGGCAUUUGUGUCCGAGCCCACAGUGAAUGACAGGUCAAGUGAGCAGGGGCGGUCAUUGCAUUUUACCGCUGGGGGGCAUCAAGUUUGGAGGAAACCAGGCAUGAAUCAUCACCAGACCAAUGCCAUUCCUACAGUGAAGCAUCAUGCCAUGGGAUUUAUUUGCAGCAGAAGCACUGGCAGACUAGUGAGGAAGAGGGAAAGAUGAAUGCAGCAUUGUACAAGAACAUCCUGGAUGUGAACCUGCUCCAAAGCACCUUGAACUUACACUGGGGCGAUAGUUCAUUUUUUAGCUGGACAAAAACCCAAAACAUAUGACCAAGAUCUCAAAGCAGUGGCUUCAAAACUACUGUGUGAACAUUCUGGAGCAUAGAGUCCAGACUAGAAUUUCAUUGGACAUCUCUGGAGAGAUCAGAAAACAGUUGCACAUAAAUCUCCCAUCCAACCUAUUGGAGAUCGAGAAGAACUGCAAAGAAAACUGUGUGAAACUGCCUAAAGAUAGUUGAACUAAGCAGGUUGCAUCAUAUUCAAAAAGCCUUGAGUCUGUAAUUGAUGUUAAAUGUGUAUCAACAAAGUAUUAAACAAAGGUGAAUAUUUA